rnacentral:rRNA from 1 species
AGUGACACAUGUUCAACGGCCGCGGUACCCUGACCGUGCAAAGGUAGCAUAAUCACUUGUUCUCUAAAUAAGGACUUGUAUGAACGGCCACACGAGGGUUUAACUGUCUCUUACUUUUAAUCAGUGAAAUUGACCUAUCCGUGAAGAGGCGGAUAUACCUAAAUAAGACGAGAAGACCCUAUGGAGCUUCAAUUUAAUGGUACAAACCACAACCUUUCAAACCAACAGGCAAUAACCUAUCAUAAAUGUACCAUAAAUUUCGGUUGGGGUGACCUCGGAGUACAAUAUAACCCCCGAAAAACAUAUACUAAGACCUCACUAGUCUAAGUAAAAACAAACCUAUUGACCCAAUAACUUGAUCAACGGACUAAGUUACCCUAGGGAUAACAGCGCAAUCCUAUUCUAGAGUCCAUAUCGACAAUCGGGUUUACGACCUCGAUGUUGGAUCAAGACAUCCUAAUGGUGCAGACGCUAUUAAGGGUUCGUUUG